UACGAAGGUCCCAAGCGUUAUCCGGAUUUAUUGGGCUUAAAGGGUGCGUAGGCGGUCUAUUAAGUCAGUGGUGAAAGCCCCAAGCUUAACUUGGGAACUGCCAUUGAUACUGAUGGUCUUGAGUACAUUUGAGGUGGGCGGAAUGUGUCAUGUAGCGGUGAAAUGCUUAGAUAUGACACAGAACACCGAUUGCGAAGGCAGCUCACUAAGCUGUAACUGACGCUGAGGCACGAAAGCGUGGGGAGCAAACAGG
rnacentral:rRNA from 1 species